rnacentral:rRNA from 1 species
AUACGGAGGAUGCGAGCGUUAUCCGGAUUUAUUGGGUUUAAAGGGAGCGUAGGCGGGAGCUUAAGUCAGCGGUUAAAUGGUGCGGCUCAACCGUGCCCUGCCGUUGAAAAUGGGUUUCUUGAGAGUGCAAGAGGCGGAUGGAAUUUCUGGGGUAGGGGUGAAAUGCAUAGAUAUCACGAAGAACUCCGAUCGCGAAGGCAGCCUUCCGGCCCGUCAACGACGCUCAUGCUCGAAGGUGCGGGUAUCAAACAGGAUUAGAUACCCUGGUAGUCCGCACAGUAAACGAUGGACACCCGCGGUUUGGCCUGUAUGGCUGAGCCGCCAAGCGAAAGCGUUAAGUGUCCCACCUGGGGAGUACGCCGGCAACGGUGAAACUCAAAGGAAUUGACGGGG